CAUCCACCCCACUGGAGCUCAUCAGAAAAUAACUUCCUACAGUAGACAGUGCUGGCAGCAUCUCUCUGCUGGCCACAGACUAUUCUGGGCAAUGUUUUGAAAAUGAAACUGAUUUAUUAAAAGCUUACAAGAGGCAAAACACAAAAAAACAAAAAAAGCCUGAGGUUGACUUGACUGCUUUGCUGUGGGGAGUGGCCCAAGAUCAUGAGGGCACGUUCAAGGCCCUGGGAUCCAGUGAUGAACAAACCCCCAGGAUCUCGGCUCUCAAGGAGCUUAUGGAGAGCUGGAGGAGACCGGGUCCUACUCACCGCGUGGCUCGCUGCUCUGCGUAAAUAAAUACUGGGAGAAAGUUUGGGGACGCGCCCUCCCAGCCCUGGCUCCCGGGCCUGCGGCUGCUACCCGCCGUCCUGCGGGGCAGUCGGCGCCAAAGCCUCGCGGGGGGUCCUCCAAUGAAGCGCCGAGGAACUCCAUGACCUCAUCGGGAAGCUCUCUCAUUGGCUGCCGCCGCCGCGCCGGGCCUGCCCCUUCCAUUAGAGCUCCGGGUUUCUGCGCGGGCCCGGCCCCUGGAUUGAAGGCUGCUUGGGUUCCUAGCUGCAGGCUUUGCAGGCUUCUCUUUAGAUUCCUCAGAGGAAACUUCUGUUUCUUGAGAAAGACUGAAGUGUGUUUUUCAACCUGCCAAAGUACUGGUUUUCUGCGCUGGUGUGUUACUGGGGUUUAGCUGGCGCUUUCAGCCUAAGUACCUGACCGAUCACAUUUAUUUCCCAUUUAUUUUAAUCAUGUAUUCUAAAGAGUUUUGUCUUUCUUUCCAGUGGAUGAAUUUCUCACGCCCCAUCUUACUGCGGAAUGCUAGUGACCUUCUCUCCCACAUUUACCCUGAGAAUUCAGUGAUUCCCAGAGAGGGAAUAUGACUUUCACAAGGUCACACAGCAAGUUAGUUAGAUGAAAGUCAGAUCCCGGGCUCCUAACUCCAGCUUCAGUGUCACACAUAUUCCACUUGGACGAUCAGACCAGACCCGAAAUCAUUUUUCAAGGCUUGGUUCAGGGGUUACCUCCUCCAGGCAGACUUCCUGGAGCCCCUCUGUGGCCCAAGGGCUCCCCCAGUCCCUGGUGUUCAUCUGAGUGCAACCACAGAGCUAUUUUUCACUUCUUUGUCCCUUUUCCCAAUUAGACUGUAAGUUCCUUGAAGGAUGGCAUCACAUUUUAUACAAUUUUGUAUCCUCAGAACCUAACAUUGUCUGGCACACAAUAGAUGCUUAAUAAAUGUUUGUUGAAUUAAA